CAGCACCUCAAGUGGUCAGGAUGAUUAUUGGGCCUAAAGCAUCCGUAGCCGGCGCUGUAAGUUUUCGGUUAAAUCUGUACGCUCAACGUACAGGCUGCCGGGAAUACUGCAGCGCUAGGGAGUGGGAGAGGUAGACGGUACUCGGUAGGAAGGGGUAAAAUCCUUUGAUCUAUUGAUGACCACCUGUGGCGAAGGCGGUCUACCAGAACACGUCCGACGGUGAGGGAUGAAAGCUGGGGGAGCGAUCCGGAUUAGAUACCCGAGUAGUCC
rnacentral:rRNA from 1 species